rnacentral:ncRNA from 1 species
UUAAUGUUUGAUUCUGUCUUUAUAAAUUAGCUUAUUCAUUAAGUUAUAUGGAAAUUUAUUAAUUAUUUUAAUUCCAGUAAUAAAUAUUUUAAAUAGAUUUAGUUCUGAAAUAGUAAAUGAUAUUUAAAGUAGAUAAAAUUUGUGCCAGCAUUCGCGGUUAGACAAUUUACUUUAGUUAAUUUUAUAGAAUUUAAUUUAAAAUUUAUUUAACAAGAAGAUAUUUUUAUUUUAUUUAGGUGGAAUUUAUAUUUUAAUUUAUUUUUCUUUUAUUUAAUGCGUUUAGAAAAUUUUAUUACUAAACUAGGAUUAGAUACCCUAUUAUUUUUAAUGUAAUUGUUAAUUCUGAAUAGUAAAAGUUAUUUUCUUUAAAGCUCAAAGAAUUUGGCGGUAAAGUAUCUUCUUAGAGGAACCUGUAGAUAAAUUGAUAAACCACGAUAUAAUCUACUUCUUACUUAUUUGUAUACCGCUAUAUAAAAGAAUGUUCUUAUAGGAUAUUUUCUUUUUCUUUAAUGAUUUAUAUUAGGUCAAGGUGCAGUUUUUAAGAAGUUUCUAUGGGUUACUAUAAUAAUAAAUUUAUAGGUUAACUUAAGAAAUUUAUUGAGUUUAUAAAAAGGAUUUAAAAGUAAAUUUAUCUAAUUAGUUUGUUUGAAUUUAGCACUACUUUAUGCACAUAUCGCCCGUCACUCCUAAAAUAAUUUAGGAUAAGUCGUAACAAAGUAAUUUUACCGGAAGGUGAGGUUAGUAGUUA